CCGGCGCUGGGCGCUACAGCGGCUCCCGGUGCGCCCCUCACCAGACCUCGCAUGGUGGAGAAGCAG
rnacentral:lncRNA from 1 species